rnacentral:lncRNA from 1 species
UGCAUCCCAGCUUGUGACGUUCACGUUGGUGAGGCUGUGCCACACUCCAAAUGCUAUUUUCGACCAUCCGUCAGGGAUACAACAGUGAACUCCCUUUCCAUGUCGGAAACCAAGUAUUCGUGCUAUUCGAGUUUGGUUCAGGGAAUACUCGGUACCGAACAUUCUAAAUAUGGAGGCUCCGGUGAGAAAUUGAGUUGCACCGGGAGGGGUUAUAUAGGAG